rnacentral:rRNA from 1 species
GGGGAGCAAUCCCUGAGUAAAGUGGCGUACGGGUGAGUAACACGUGGGUAAUCUACCUUUUGGUGGGGAAUAACGCUGGGAAACCGGCGCUAACACCGCAUGAGCUAGCCACUUAAGGUGGUUAGGAAAAGAGAAAUCUGCCGAAAGAGGAGCCCGCGGCUGAUUAGCUAGUUGGUGAGGUAAAGGCUCACCAAGGCAAUGAUCGGUAGCCGGCCUGAGAGGGCACACGGCCACACUGGCACUGAAACACGGGCCAGACUCCUACGGGAGGCAGCAGUGGGGAAUCUUGCACAAUGGGGGAAACCCUGAUGCAGCGACGCCGCGUGAGUGAUGAAGCCCUUCGGGGUGUAAAGCUCUUUCGGCAGGGACGAUAAUGACGGUACCUGAAGAAGAAGCUGCGGCUAACUACGUGCCAGCAGCCGCGGUAAUACGUAGGCAGCGAGCGUUGUUCGGAGUUACUGGGCGUAAAGAGUGCGUAGGCGGUUUUCUAAGUUUGGUGUGAAAUCUCCCGGCUCAACUGGGAGGGUGCGCCGAAGACUGGAAGGCUAGAGUGUGGGAGAGGUAAGCGGAAUUCCUGGUGUAGCGGUGAAAUGCGUAGAUAUCAGGAGGAACACCUGCGGUGUAGACGGCUUACUGGACCAUGACUGACGCUGAGGCACGAAAGCGUGGGUAGCAAACAGGAUUAGAUACCCUGGUAGUCCACGCCCUAAACGAUGCAUACUUGGUGUGGGUAGU